rnacentral:misc_RNA from 1 species
AACGGUCUAUACCUGCGGUACCUGCGGAAGGAUCAUUACCGAGUUAGGGUUCCUCUCACGGGCCCGACCUCCCAACCCUGUGUCUAUCACACCUUGUCGUUGCUUCGGUGGACCGGUUCGGGGACUUUUGUUUCUGGCCGCCGGGGGUGUUUUUCACCCCGGGAGAGCGUCCGCCGAUGGCCCAACCACAACUUCUUUGUUCUAAACCUGUCGUCUAAAUCAAACUUGAUAAUAAUCAAA